rnacentral:rRNA from 1 species
AAUGAACGCUGGCGGCAGGCCUAACACAUGCAAGUCUAGCGAGCGGCGGACGGGUGAGGAAUGCCUGGGAAACUGCCUGAUGGCGGGGGAUAACUACUGGAAACGGUAGCUAAUACCGCAUACCCUCAAAUGUGCCCAGAUGGGAUUAGCUCGUGGGUGGGGUAACGGCUCACCUAGGCGACGAUCCCUAGCUGGGCUGGUAGGAUGACCAGCCACACUGGAACUGAGACACGGCCCAGACUCCUACGGGAGGCAGCAGUGGGGAAUAUUGCACAAUGGGCGCAAGCCUGAUGCAGCCAUGCCGCGUGUGUGAAGAAGGCCUUCGGGUUGUAAAGCACUUUCAGCGGGGAGGCGUUACCCGCAGAAGAAGCACCGGCUAACUCCGUGCCAGCAGCCGCGGUAAUAC